AUUAUGAGCCAACGAAUCUUUUGUAAAAGCAAAAGUCAAUUGAAAAGUGCCCCGAAGAAGGAAUGGCAAGCAAAAGUCAUUGCGUGCUGACAAUCGAUUAGUGAAUGCGUUUUUAAAGAUCGCGCGUAAUGAUCUCACAAUGGCAACAGUUACGCUGAUUAGAAUGGCUUUCCAUCACGACUAAUGAGUAAUAGGCUGAAUGGUGUGUCAGUGGAACAAGGCAAACACUUCGAGGACAGCAGCUUAAUAAUUGAAAUGUCUCAUAUACAAGCACCUGCUACCUAUUUUUAGCUCUUUCUUAGCCGUGGGCAACACUAGUCCCAGACUCCGACCUUGAUCCAGAUGAAAACCCGCCCGUCGUUUCACUUCUCUUGGAAUCCAGAAUUUUCUAAAUCUUAUCCAUUUUCCUAUCCUAAAUUUUUUUAUGUAAUGACCGGUCACCAUUUGUAGGACGUGAAAUGACUCGCAGAAGUUCUCCAUAUGCAGGACAGACUGGUUUCUUGGAAAUUCAACAAUUUUUGUUUGAUGCUGUAGGCAGUUAACGGCAAGACUUGGCCCAUUCAACAACACAAAAUCGUGCUCUUAUAAAAUUUUGUCUGGUUUAUUUCAACUAAAAUUUAGUUUAAACUUACCUUAAUUCUAUUCCGAGAUUUUUAUAGUUCGGUAACAUUGUAAAGGACCAAAAAUGGUUGAGACAAACAACAACCAGCGUCCACGCGUAACUUUUCAAGUAAAACCAGAAAAGAAGAAGGGAUUGGCUUUGCUGAUUUAUGACUUGAAGCAGCCCAAACUGAUUCCAGUCAAGCUUUUAACUUUCAUCAUAUUAUCGGGUGUCGGAGUGCUAUUGCCGUUCACCACCAUCCAUAUGAAAUCGUUGGGACUAAGCUUCCAAGAGGUCGGCUCCAUCUACGGUGUUUCAUCGAUUGCAGCGAUUUUAUCUCCUUUUCUCAUUGGUUUGAUCGCCGAUAAACUUGGGAAUUUCAAGAUUCUGAUGAGCGCAGUACACGGCCUUCUUGCUAUUAUAGCGCUUCUCUUUCUGACAGUUCCAGCUGGAAAAACGUGGCAUUUUUACCCUGAAAACAUCACAUUUGCACUCGGUUGUUCGGACAGCAAGUCCGACUAUUUAAAUUCAGCGACUCUCACCUUAACGGAUCUCGACUCGAAUCCUUGCCACGUCCAAUCGAAUUGGAUCCGUGAAAAUUUAAACAAUUUUUCCGUGGCGCUAGAAGAGUGUGGUUACGUUUGCUACGACCAGCCGUCUGACGUGAUUAGGUCGGAGGCCAUUGAACUCAAUCAAGAAGUAGAUCCGUCGAUACCAAUUGUCGCUCUAAAAAAAGUUGUUUUGCCAAAAGUAGAAUUUCGCGAGGCUGUUUUCUUCCCAAACUACUGGAGCCUGGACACGACUUGCACUCCAACACGAUUUGGAGAAGAUGUUUGCGUUUUGAAUCGAAAAAAUGACAGUCAGACAACACAAGUGAACACGACCAUCGGAUUGGAUUUCUUCAGUGAAUCCGUGAACACCAAAGGAUUAUUCCCAGUGAAGUGGAUGGUAUUGGAAGAUGCCACUGGCAGUGAUCAAAAGCAGACAAAUUUCCAGUGUGGGACUUAUGGUGCAGAUGAGAAACUUCAUCAAACCGUCUACUUUAAAGAUUCGAACCAAGCGGACAACGAUCGAGCCGUCUACCAGUUCUGCCGGCCUCAGUGUAUCGUCCGGAUUAACCGCUUUGACUUGUGCCACAACAUGGUUCGAGAGGAAAUUUUUAAUCCACAGCUCACCUUCUGGCUCUACAUGUGUCUUCGAUUAUUCUUUGACAUUCUCCUCGGCGGAUUAGACUUGUUUGUCGGAGCUUCUGUGGCUUUGGUCGGCGAAUUAGGCGGGGAUUACGGUUUCCAAAGAAUGUUUGGAUACAUUGGAAUCGCUGUUUUUUCACCCAUCUCUGGGGUUUUGAUUGACCAAUUUAGUGAAGAUGAAAGUGUGCUUGGAAAUACCAGGCCGGCCUUCUAUUUGUUCGCUAGUCUUUUUGGAAUUGCUGCUGUUGGAAUGCUUACAAUCAACCUUGAUUUCAAACGUCCAGCAGAAAAUCUGCUGAGUGAUGUUUCAACAUUACUUAAAAACAUUGAACUGGAUAUAUUGCUUGUCGUCGCAUUUGUUUCCGGAAUCUGCAACGGACACGGGUUUUACUAUUUGUUUUUGUUCCUUGAAGAGAUUGGGGGCACUAGUUCUUUAAUGGGACUGUCUAGCACGUUCCAGUGUCUCACUGUGAUACCGUUGCUUCUUUUCUCCGACCGCAUCUUCCGUAAAUUGAGUCAUCCCAAUGUUCAAGUUCUCUGUUUUGCAGUUAACGUCAUCCGACUAAUCGGAUAUUCGUAUUUGCACAACCCGCAUUUGUGUCUCCUAUUCGAGUCGAUGGAUGCCAUUUCCUGGAAUUUUGCUCGCACUUCGCAUGUAGCCUAUGCCAACCAGUUAGGGACGACGUCUACUGUAGCUUCUAUCCAAGGAUUAUUGGGAGGACUCACCUUUGGAUUAGGAUUUGGUGUUGGGAGCUCUGGCGGAAGUUUACUAAUCGGUGCCUAUGGCCAGCGAGUGACUUUUCGCAUUCUGGGCGGCAUCUCCUUCGUUACAGGGCUAUUUUACUUUCUUUUCAACAUCUUUUAUUUACAUCCCAAAAAUACUGCGAGGAUUGACAGUGCAGUGAAUCGAAACGAGAUUAUUUCCGAAACAUCGUCAACACUCUCCCAUGAUAGUGGUUCUCGUUAGAAUAUGUACUUGGGUCAUCAUUUGGAUGAUUCAAAUCUAACCCAAUAAUCUAACUCCAUUGAAUUUAUUUAUUAGUCCCGAGAAUCCAACUUGCCUCGCAAUGUAUGAAUUACUAUCGUCUUAUACAUAUGCAAGUUUAAUGUCUUGAGUGUAUAGGGUGCCUUUAAUUUAUUUAACGAAAUUGUAAACGAUUUCACAGUAUGUAGUGGAAACCGGUAUUUAACUUUUGUUGUUAGGCAGUAGGAUGACUGCAAUUCUACAGAGCUCGGGUUAGAGACGAUAAUCUUUCGCGUCAAUCACAAGAUUCGCCGUCACUGCCUGUGUUGGCAUGGCCACCGAAAAUCCCAACCGGACACACCAGAUGCAGCAGCAUAAA
rnacentral:misc_RNA from 1 species